rnacentral:rRNA from 1 species
AUUGAACGCUGGCGGCAUGCCUUACACAUGCAAGUCGAACGGCAGCACGGGAGCUUGCUCCUGGUAGCGAGCGGCGAACGGGUGAGUAAUACAUCGGAACGUACCCAGGAGUGGGGGAUAACGUAGCGAAAGUUACGCUAAUACCGCAUAUUCUGUGAGCAGGAAAGCGGGGGAUCGCAAGACAUCGCGCUCUUGGAGCGGCCGAUGUCGGAUUAGCUAGUUGGCGAGGUAAAAGCUCACCAAGGCGGCGAUCCGUAGCAGGUCUGAGAGGAUGAUCUGCCACACUGGGACUGAGACACGGCCCAGACUCCUACGGGAGGCAGCAGUGGGGAAUUUUGGACAAUGGGGGCAACCCUGAUCCAGCCAUGCCGCGUGAGUGAAGAAGGCCUUCGGGUUGUAAAGCUCUUUCGGCGGGGAAGAAAUGGCAACGGCUAAUAUCCGUUGUUGAUGACGGUACCCGCAUAAGAAGCACCGGCUAACUACGUGCCAGCAGCCGCGGUAA